rnacentral:rRNA from 1 species
AUUGAACGCUGGCGGCAUGCUUUACACAUGCAAGUCGAACGGUAACAGGCCGCAAGGUGCUGACGAGUGGCGAACGGGUGAGUAAUGCAUCGGAACGUGCCCAGUCGUGGGGGAUAACUACUCGAAAGAGUAGCUAAUACCGCAUACGAUCUAUGGAUGAAAGCGGGGGACCGUAAGGCCUCGCGCGAUUGGAGCGGCCGAUGUCAGAUUAGGUAGUUUGUGGGGUAAAGGCUCACCAAGCCAACGAUCUGUAGCUGGUCUGAGAGGACGACCAGCCACACUGGGACUGAGACACGGCCCAGACUCCUACGGGAGGCAGCAGUGGGGAAUUUUGGACAAUGGGCGCAAGCCUGAUCCAGCAAUGCCGCGUGCAGGAAGAAGGCCUUCGGGUUGUAAACUGCUUUUGUACGGAACGAAACGGCUCUGGUUAAUACCCGGGGCUAAUGACGGUACCGUAAGAAUAAGCACCGGCUAACUACGUG